rnacentral:rRNA from 1 species
AGAGUUUGAUUCUGGCUCAGAACGAACGCUGGCGGCGUGGAUAAGACAUGCAAGUCGAACGGGAACUCUUAAGCUUGCUUUGGAGUUCUAGUGGCGAACGGGUGAGUAACACGUGAGUGACCUGCCCUGAAGCGCGGGAUAGCCCGGGGAAACUCGGAUUAAUACCGCAUGUGAUUGAAAAAUUAAAGGUGCCGCAAGGUGCCGCUUCGGGAUGGGCUCGCGGCCUAUCAGCUUGAUGGUGGGGUAACGGCCUACCAUGGCGAUGACGGGUAACUGGUCUGAGAGGAUGAUCAGUCACACUGGAACUGAGACACGGUCCAGACACCUACGGGUGGCAGCAGUCGAGAAUCAUUCGCAAUGGGGGAAACCCUGACGGUGCGACGCCGCGUGGAGGAUGACGGCCCUCGGGUUGUAAACUCCUGUCAUCGGUGAGUAAGGUUUUGCGGAGUAACUGCCGCAAAAAUUGAUAGUAGCCGAAGAGGAAGGGACGGCUAACUUCGUCCCAGCAGCCGCGGUAAUACGAAGGUCCCAAGCGUUGUUCGGAAUCACUGGGCGUAAAGCGUGCGUAGGCGGCGGGGUAAGUCAGAUGUGAAAGGCAGGGGCUCAACUCCUGGACUGCAUCCGAUACUGCCUUGCUCGAGUAGUGGAGGGGAGUCUGGAAUUCUCGGUGUAGCAGUGAAAUGCGUAGAUAUCGAGAGGAACACUAGUGGCGAAGGCGAGACUCUGGACACUUACUGACGCUCAGGCACGAAGGCCAGGGUAGCGAAAGGGAUUAGAUACCCCUGUAGUCCUGGCAGUAAACGGUGCACGUUUGGUGUGGGGAGGUUCGACCCUUUCCGUGCCGAAGCUAACGCGUUAAACGUGCCGCCUGGGGAGUACGGCCGCAAGGCUAAAACUCAAAGAAAUUGACGGGGACCCGCACAAGCGGUGGAGUAUGUGGCUUAAUUCGAUGCAACGCGAAGAACCUUACCUGGGCUUGACAUGCUAGGUCGUAGCUGCGUGAAAGCGCGGCGUCAGUCUGCUGGACCUAGCACAGGUGCUGCAUGGCUGUCGUCAGCUCGUGUCGUGAGAUGUUGGGUUAAGUCCCGCAACGAGCGCAACCCCUGUGGUCUGUCGCCAGCACGUAAAGGUGGGGACUCUGACCAGACUGCCGGUAAUAAACCGGAGGAAGGUGGGGAUGACGUCAGGUCAGUAUGGCCCUUACGCCCAGGGCUGCACACGUACUACAAUGCCCAGUACAACAUGAUCCGAGACCGCGAGGUGGAGGAAACCGUAAAAACUGGGCUCAGUUCGGAUUGGAGGCUGCAACUCGCCUCCAUGAAGUCGGAAUCGCUAGUAAUGGCGCAUCAGCU